UCCAAGACCACUUACAGCUACUUUCCUUAUCUCUGAGGAGUUGGCAGCACUACAGUACACACUUGUGCUUUUUUUGGCUGUACAACAGCAUUGGCGAGAAUGUUUGUCUCUCAGCAUCCUCCGGCUUCAGCGUGACCUUCAGCGCUCGCUCGGCUCAAAAACGAGCGGGGUCACUUUUGUAGUCUUUUAGCGCUUGGAGGGGCAAUGAAAUAUUCAAACAGCUAUCCUCCACAGAAGCGUCAUGGUGUCAGUCCAGAGUCCAUCGGCCUACUGGACGCCACGUGCGCACACACAAUGCGAACUGCGGUUAUUUCCAGCAGCUGCUGGAUUCAAACAUAUCAGGACCAGACUGGGGAAUUGGAGCAGACUCGGGCACGGUACAGGUCCGAGAACAGGUAGAAAUAAACUAUGUAUAAAAGCAGCGCUAAGCUACAGCCUGGGGCUAAGCUACACGGGCUACGAUGUUAGCACCCCCCCAACC